rnacentral:rRNA from 1 species
UACGUAGGGGCCAAGCGUUGUCCGGAUUUAUUGGGCGUAAAGAGCUCGUAGGCGGUUCGGCAAGUCAGCUGUGAAAUCUCCACGCUCAACGUGGAGGGGUCAGCUGAUACUGCUGUGACUUGAGUCCGGUAGGGGAGUGUGGAAUUCCCGGUGUAGCGGUGAAAUGCGCAGAUAUCAGGAGGAACACCGAUGGCGAAGGCAGGUCUCUGGGCCAUAACUGACGCUGAGAAGCGAAAAGCAUGGGGAGCGAACAGG